rnacentral:rRNA from 1 species
UACGUAGGGUGCGAGCGUUGUCCGGAAUCAUUGGGCGUAAAGAGCGCGCAGGCGGCUUGGCAAGUCGGGUGUGAAAUCCCGGGGCUCAACCCCGUGACUGCAUCCGAUACUGUCAGGCUAGAGGUAGGUAGGGGAGAUCGGAAUUCCUGGUGUAGCGGUGAAAUGCGCAGAUAUCAGGAGGAACACCGGUGGCGAAGGUGGAUCUCUGGGCCUUACCUGACGCUCAGGCGCGAAAGCUAGGGGAGCGAACAGG